rnacentral:rRNA from 1 species
GAUGAACGCUGGCGGCGUGCCUAAUACAUGCAAGUCGAGCGAACAGACGAGGAGCUUGCUCCUCUGACGUUAGCGGCGGACGGGUGAGUAACACGUGGAUAACCUUCCUAUAAGACUGGGAUAACUUCGGGAAACCGGAGCUAAUACCGGAUAAUAUAUUGAACCGCAUGGUUCAAUAGUGAAAGACGGUUUUGCUGUCACUUAUAGAUGGAUCCGCGCCGCAUUAGCUAGUUAGUAAGGUAACGGCUUACCAAGGCAACGAUGCGUAGCCGACCUGAGAGGGCGAUCGGCCACACUGGAACUGAGACACGGUCCAGACUCCUACGGGAGGCAGCAGUAGGGAAUCUUCCGCAAUGGGCGAAAGCCUGACGGAGCAACGCCGCGUGAGUGAUGAAGGUCUUCGGAUCGUAAAACUCUGUUAUUAGGGAAGAACAAAUGUGUAAGUAACUAUGCACGUCUUGACGGUACCUAAUCAGAAAGCCACGGCUAACUACGUG